rnacentral:rRNA from 1 species
UACGUAGGGGGCAAGCGUUGUCCGGAAUCAUUGGGCGUAAAGCGCGUGUAGGCGGCUCGGUAAGUCUGCUGUGAAAGUCCAGGGCUCAACCCUGGGAUGCCGGUGGAUACUGUCGAGCUCGAGUCCGGAAGAGGCGAGUGGAAUUCCUGGUGUAGCGGUGAAAUGCGCAGAUAUCAGGAGGAACACCAAUUGCGAAGGCAGCUCGCUGGAACGUAACUGACGCUGAGACGCGAAAGCGUGGGGAGCAAACAGG